AGGACUGCUGUGCUCUUAGGAUCACCGUUUUUGAUGAUUAAACUUUCGAAUUGACGAUCAGUUCCGUUUGACUUGAUCUAACAUAUUUGAAGUAUGUUGAAAAUCAAUUUUGCAGUUUUUCGAUAUCAUCUACCUAAUGAUUGAAAAGAUUCAAAAUCAACGGCUGAAAAUAAAAAUCUCAUAAAUUGCGGUGAUAUAGUACUAAAAUUUUCGAUCGGAGAUAUUAAUCUUGCUAUAGAUAGUAUAAAGAAUUUCUUCAAAAUUUCAUCUGAUUUGGAUGCUGGUACACCAUUAAACUUAAAGACGACAGACAUCAACUAUUAAAAAUUAUUAAUUUUGAACCUUUUUGAUUGUUAGGUAAAUGAUAUCGAAAAAUCAUAAAAUUUAUUUUCUAAAUACUUUAAAUAUGAUAGAUCAAGUCUAAUAAAGUGAAUUGUCGAUUUGGAAACACCAUCAUCAAAAACGGAUUAGCAGCAGCCCUGCUCCUAAAUAACAACCAGUAUACUAGCACUAAAUGUUGUUUUUAGGAGUACUGCAAUAUCUGCUAAUAUUUUUUUAACGGUUUAGGAAAAUUAAAUAACGCUAGGAGCCUGAUGGGACUCGAACUCAGAACUUCUUAUUUUAAUACCAUGUUAAAUUAUAUAAAAAUAACUGUUUAUCUCAAAAUGCUUAAACUAUUAGAGAUUCAGUGUUUUCAUUAAAUAAUCGACCGUUCCUAGAGCAAGUAGCAAAAGGCUUAGUGGUUGGUAUCCGAGGUCUCAAGUUCGAAUCCUAGUUGAUUCACAUUUCCAGCUAAAUUUAUUUCUAAAUGAAAUAAACGAAGCGGGUAGCAAUAGCAUACUAUCUAUCUCUAAAAAAAAAAAUUUAUAAUGUAUAGAUAAAAUAUUUUUUAAAACAGGCUUUAUUUCCUAGGCCAUGUGGUCUCCUCUUGAAAAAGUUGGUGUUUUGUGGACCAAAGAACCACCCAACAUUGGCUAGGAUGGUUGUGUUUAGCUCUAUAAAAAGAUCUUGAAAAGCCAAUUAAAAAAAAAAAGGGUUAAAUAUUUUUUUUUUUAAAAAGUAAAAAGCUUAGUGGAGGGCUUUGUUUUGCCCUAGGAGAGGAGAAUCACUUUUGCCCACAAAAGAGGCCCUGGUCCAUGGAGCAAUAAUAAUCCCCAUAUAUGCACCCUUUUGGGUUCACCUUACCAAACACCAACACUUGUCUCCACAUCUCCAUAAUCUUAUCUCCCCACCUUGACAGGUGACAGUGGCAAACUUGUAAAUCACUGGGCCUGGUCCACCACGUCGUUCACGGACCGCCCAAUGUCUAGUCCCCCUCUCUGUCCACCUCAUCUUUGCUUUCAAUCAGCAAAGGAUUUAGAACGAAUAAUUUUAAAGCCUGAAAGAACGUAAUUCAGAAAGCGGUGGUGAUUGAAAGUAGGUAUGGCACGAAGAGAUAAAUGAAGGGCAGUCCAUGGCUGAUGUGCCCGGUCCAGACAAAUAGUAGGAUAAGUUGCACAUUUGGCCCUCAAAUUGUGAGGUCUGUCACACUUUGUUGGUUUGAACUUUAUUACAAUCCGGUCCCACAAUCUAAUUUAGUUGGUUAAAUCUUAAUACACCGCUGAUAUAAAAGUAAUAUGAUAUCUUAAUUAGUGGCCCAUCACCAAUCACAGCACUGUUACAUCAAUUUAGUCGAUUAAAUUAGAUUAUAGUACUCGAUUGCAAUAAUUAUAAAAGUUCCAACUAGAAAUUACAGUAAACUAGAGUUUGAGGCUCCCACAUGCAAUUUGCCCAUACUUCUAUGUUUAAUGAGCUUCUUUUAGUUUCCACUAAAAACAAAGUAAAAAAAAAAAAAGAAGAAGUUAUAAGCAUUUUGUUUGCCAAACGUUUGUUUUUAUAUAAAUAAGCUGUCUCAAAAAUCAGACCAAAUAAUGAAAAAUAAAAGAUUGUAUGAUUAUUCUAAUCAGUAAUAUCAGUAAUUUUCGCCUUUUCUUUUUUUGGAUGCCCUGGUUGUCUUUACCAUCGUUGCUAAGUUCAUAUCUCCUUAAUUAAUGAAAUGAGUACCUGCCUACAUCUUCCUCAAAAAAAAAAAAAAAGGGAAAAAAAGUAAUUUUAGUAAGAAGCUAAGAACUGUACUAAUGUAACACAACAUAUAUACAACAUCAAAGUUGGCAAAUUUCAAUUAAUUCCUCACCAAUUCUGUCACAUAAUUCACCAGCAAAUGCACACACACUCCACAGGAAUAAGAAUCAUCUCCUUGUCAUAUUUUUCUCACACAGUUAUUCCUGGAGCCAAAUUAAUUAAGAUUUGUACAAAAAUCCUGCAGAGCAGCAGUUCCAGAAAUGUGCAAACACCAACAAAUCCCAAAAAAGCAGUGAUAAGACAUCACUGGCUCUUAAUGUCAUGUCAUGUUAUUAUUAUGUUAUGUUAUGUGGCUUCUUUUUUUUUUUUAAUAUAUAUAUAUAUAGCCGGCUAUAUAUAUAUAUAUAUUAAAAAUGACUAAAAGUUUAAAUCUAACAGUGGAAAACUCGAUAAUAUCAAGCCCUUAGUGCUAUCGAUAGUAUACCAGCCGGACUCUCUCUCUCUCUCUCUCUCUCUCUCUCUCUCUCUCUCUCUCUCUCUNUGGCCAUUGGUUGAAGUGGGCCUCCAAAAGUUAAGAUAAUGUGGGCCUCCAAAGGUUGAGUGAGUUGUUGGUUGAAUAGUAUAAUCUAACGGAUGAAAAUAGUAAAAGGGUUAAAUCUCACGGCGGAAAACUCGGUCGCACCAAGUGCUUAGUGCUAUCGAUAGUAUCCCAGCCGGAUAUAUAUAUAUAUAUAUAUAUAGAGAGAGAGAGAGAGAGAGAGAGAGAGAGAGAGAGAGAGAGAGAGAGAGAGUCUAGCUAUGGUGCUUGUAAAAGCACCAAGCACUUGAUACUUGUAAGUUUUUUACCGUUAGAUCUUUGUCUUUAAUCAUUUUCAACCGUUAGAUUAUACUAUUCAACCAACUACCCACUCAACCCUAGGGGGUCCACAUCAUCCCAACCGCACAUCCCUUAAUCCAAGGGCCCAAAACUUACAAGUACCAAUGACUUGGUACUUUUAAAAGCAUAGGAGCUCAAUUAUAUAUAUAUAUAUAUAUAUAUAUAUAUAUAUGCCCUUUCAUUUAUAUAAUGUUCCACCCUUGAUUAUUCCUGAAACAUGCUCUCACUCUUUGAUUUAAUUUUAAAAAAGUGCAUGAUUAUGGAGGAUAUGGCAAGAAAGAUCAACAUCUAAGCACUAAGAAAAAGAUUGGCCGCUUUAUCGGACAUAUGGAGCUUUAUACCAUACGCUGGCUUGAAGGGGCCAGCAUCUUGUCCUACGGCGGAAGGUCGGGUUUGGCCAAGUUAUGUUCGAAAUGGCGUAAGACUGAUUGGGCCGAGUCACAAUCGAAACUCGUGGGUGCUGUGUCUGUAUGUUUUAAGCGGAUUGGUUGUAUCUUUCUACCAGCUCGAACUUUUGAAAUUAAUGGUUAGCGCUAACGAUCCGACACUAUAAUCUAACAAUCCUCAUGUAACACUCUUGGAAAUGCAUCUUAAUAUAUAUAAAUAAAUAUCAGCUUCUAAGCACUCAAUAUUUGAUUAUGAGGAACUGCUAUUGGUGGAGAAAAGAAUGGUUUUUAUGGGAUUUGAUGAGAUUCUUGGCCCUUCAACAUAAGUACUAAAUUACUAAACUAAGGUUAGUGGUGAGAAUGGCUUUUGCUUAUGUUUGUUGGCAAUAAACUAGCCAAUGGUUUCCAAAAUAUCAUAACAAGGCGGCGACCAAUGGCGCAGCGCCAUGUGUGUUGCACUUUUGUAACAUGCUAUGCAUAAAGGUUUGGCUCUUAUCUCAAAUUGAAGUGUGAGUGUGACAUGCAUGUAUGGCACUUUCUAUUGAUCAGUCACAUUUAUCUAAAGAGAUUUUGAGUUUGACUCAGCGCAUUUUCCUAAGCGGAUUCCACGCGGAGGCAUGCGAUCGGCGCUGACAAAUUGAUCUGCGCGAAUUCGAUCUUUCUGAUGUAAGAGGAGACUGAAAGAUUUCGACGAUAAUCGCGAAUUCAUCGCCAUUUAGGGAGCUGAACAAAUAUGUGCAAGAGAAUUUCAAAAAGGAAAGUUGCAUGAACAAGAAAGAGAGACUAAAUAAAAUUAGAUAUCCAAUGUGCCCGAAAAAGCGAUUCCGAAGAAGAUAUCUUUUAAUUUUGAAAAGAAAGUAACAGGUAAAGAAGCAUCAUCUAUGUAGCCACUAAAAGCGCGAUUUCUAGGCCAUUAGAGAAAAGAAAAAAGGCACUUAGAAUUGGUUGAGGACCAAGGAUCAGAUCCUAAGUUGUCAGAGUGAUGCCGAGAGGCCCGAGUUCCUGGAGAUCGAAAUAGACAAUUGGCCACUGAGAGGUUCCCCAAUCCUAAGCUAAGCUGACCCCCGCCACGCAUUCUCCGAAGUGGAUUCUACCACCGAUAAUGACGUGCGUGGCGCGCGACGAUUGGCCAACCAAAUUGUUCUUGUUUCUUCAUUGAGCUAUCCGCUGCUAUAUGAAGCUCACUGCCCCCCGUCAGAUACCGCUGUCAUUGCCUCGCGAGCACGAGAGCAGCAACAACCGCGAAGCUAGUCUAAACUAGUGGAGGGUUGUGUGCAAAGUGCGAAGAAGUAAGAAGAGAGAACGCGGGACGUGCAAAUGGCUAGAGGUAAGGUGCAGAUGAGGCGGAUCGAGAACCCCGUGCACCGUCAGGUCACCUUCUGCAAGCGCAGGGGAGGGCUCCUCAAGAAGGCCAAUGAGUUAUCCGUUCUCUGCGAUGCGGAGAUCGGCGUCAUCAUGUUCUCCGCGAACGGAAAGCUCUACGAGCUCGCCACUAACGGGUUUGUGACUAUCAUUACAACUCCUAUUAUACAUAGAUAAGCUGAUUCUGAUUCCACUGGUUCACUGAUUUCUAUAUGCGGUUCUUGUUUUCGUUCGAGAAUUACAAGAAACAUGCAAAACUUGAUCGAGCGGUACAAGCGAAUCGGUGUGGAAGGCCAAGCGGAGAGCAGCGAAGUGAACCAAUCUCAGGUUCGUGCGAAAAUCGCGUCAUCAUGAUCAUGCAUGCCACUCAAUAAUAAGUCCUUGCAUAACAAUAGUAACAUCACAUUUUGUUUCAGUUUUUUCAAACUAUGCACCGAAUUAAGAACUUAUAAACUAAGAAAACAGUGUGUUAUUUUGGUAGAUUUCUCAAAUGAUCUCUUGCUUUUUUGUUCUGAGUAGUGCGCAAAAUCUACGAUUGAUCAGAAAAAAAGCAAAGUGAGAUAAUAUGCUUAUUGUAGAGGUAUUCGAUCUCUUCCAAUGAAAAGGACAUUUAUUCUAGAGUUGAUAGUUCUCUGUACAUGAUUCCUAGAGAGAACAAAUAGUAUAGUGUGCGAUGAUUCGUAGGCGAUAUCUGUGUUGCUUAAGAAACAAGCUAACACCCACUUAAGCCACAUCUAUGUUACUUUAUAAGGAUCUCAAUUCUCAAAUGUUACUUUUUGGCUCUGCACAUCACAAACAAGCAUCUAUGUAUUUGGCUAUCGGAAAUUUGGUUCACUAAUUAAGAUUCUAAGUGUGAGUUCCUAAGAUAUCUGAGCAUGGCGCUCGAUCAGUUUCUGAGACAGAUAUAAUUGGUUCAUUUAUUUAUACCAAACUAAGGUACAAAAGAUACAUUUUGUAAUGAAUACCGAAGAAAAUAACAUCUGAUCUAGUUUUAUCGACAGCGUACUUAUGUACAUUUUUGUCGCAUCAGGUUGCUGAACAAGAGGUUUUCAUGCUGAAGCAAGAGAUUGACCUGCUUCAGAAAGGUUUGAGGUAAGUAAUACGAAAGCUCGUGUAUGCUCAUGAAUUCGUAUGAUAGGUUGUAUGAGAUUGUAACAGUUUAAGCUAUACUAAUUGCAUCAGCCAAGUUCGCAUGCUCCUUACUAUUUGAAAAGUUGCAUACGCCGUUAAGUUGAUAACAAAGUUUUAAAGUUUAAGUAACCCUUUAUAAUCCAAAAGAGGCGAUGACGGUACUUUGUUUUUGAUGAUCAAAGAACGGUCGAUCAAAAGUACAACACAAGCUUGGGCAAACCCUGUUUCCUUCAUCCGUAAUUUGGCACCGCAGUUUAUUGAAAGCGAGCUAAGUUCAUAGGAGCCAUUAAUUGGUUAGGGAGAGAACAUCGAGAACAUACCAUGUUUCCAAAAAUCAUCCUGCGAAUGACGACAACUUUGAAAACAUUAUACAAAAAGAUAUGAACACAUAUUCUAAAGAAGACAUAAUGAAGCGAAACAUGUAAAGAGAAACCUCUAAGAAGAGCCCAGUACAAAUUUAUGAUACAUUGUAUUUGUUGAACAUAUAUUAAAAACACCGUUCUCUGACAGUUUAAGCUUUCAGAGAAAGACGGCUGUUUCAUAUAACUUAACAUAGUAUCAGAGCACGAUGAGGCAGGUACAUAUAUGGAGACGGAACGGCGGCGCACAUGACAUUCGACGAAUUGCAAGCCGUGGAACGGAACCUCGAAGUUUGGAUAUACAAUAUCCGCUCUACGAAGGCGAGGAUCCUAAAUUUUUUUUUUUUUUUUCCUUUUCUUUUAAUUUUCUUUUCGCUAUCUCAAUAGUUGAGGAUCUAACUGCACACCCUUUUACCAAAGCAGAUACAGAUCAUGGCCCAGGAGAUUCAAAUGCUCAGGAACAAGGUUAGCAGUUCAACACCAAUCCAUUACAUUCCAUCCGCUGUCGAAACCGAAAACUAAAAGCAUCGAGCGACUCAGCUUUUCCGAAAUACCAUAUUAUUAUUCACCGAAUUCGGCGCUUUUUGAUUGAUGCUCCUUUGAUUACACAGGAAGGCAUACUGAAGACCGCGAAUCAAAUCCUCCAAACAAAGGUACUACUCAAGAACAUAAAUAAAAAUUGGCCUUAAAAACACAUUCAAACACAUUCAAAAAAUAGUACACUAGGGAGUUCAAUUCCAAACAAGUUACAUAAACCGGAGAUUAAUGACUAUAAAUUUGAUCAAAAAACCAGUGAUCUGAUAUGUUAUAAACUUUUUUUUUUUUAACUGCGCAGAUAAUCGAGCAGAACGGGCUUUUCGACGUAAGCAUGAUGAUAGCAGAUGCUCCAUACCCACUAACCAUAUCCAACAACCAACCCAAAGUUCAAUAGGAGCCUCCCCUUCAUUAUCUUGUUUUAUAAAUAAUCCAAAACUAAAUUAGUUGCUGUUCACUAAAACUAUUGUAGUGUUCUUGUUUAGAGCAUGUUCUAGGAGUGUAUAUUUAUAUUUAUAUAUACAUAUAUAUAUUUCCCUAGUAUAGUUAUAUUAUUAUUGUUAUGAUUAUUUAAGUUCUUAAGAACUUGUUUUGCAUUUCUUGUGGUGAUUUAUCAGAUUCUGCUACUACUCUUCGCAAAUCUCACACAUGCAAAUGAUUGCUCUAUGUUUAUAUAUGUAUAAUGAAUUUUUUUUUCGCGAACAAAAUGGGAUCAAUUCGAACUCAGGAGGAGUCGGGAGCUUCUGCUCUGAUAUCAUGUGAAACGAUCAUUUUCUCAGAAUGUUGCUGUCGACGACAGCAACAUAUCCCGCGACCUCUAAUUUCUUUUCUAUUAUAAUUCGAGUUCUCGUAGUUAGUUAAAUUGAUAAUUUUGUCAAUUUUCCUGUCAUUUAGGCUCGUGCUUGAACAUGCUACUGAUUAAAUUAAACACAAAAAAAAAAAAGAUGAGCUAAAAAAAACAUAAAGCAUAUUAUUUGACCAAAAAUUAAAAUGGGGAAAAGGAGUGAGGUUUAGGGUUUAUGACAUUGGGCGCUCGUAGUAGCAUCAACGGGUGAGUUACAACUGAAGUCGGCGGCGAGAUUGCUAAGCUUGCCGACUACAUGGGGAGAGUCGGCGACGAUAAAGAUUCCAAUGCCGGAUUCGAUAAAUAUUUAUAUUUGUUUUAAAAAAUAUAUAUAAAUUCGUAAUAUUUUUUUUUAUAAAUUGGUCCCGUAGCUCAGUUGGUUAGAGCGCUGGUCUUAUGAGCCGGAGGUCGCGAGUUCGAGCCUCGCCGGGACCAAAAUUUAAUUUGAAUUUAAAUUAUAAGUUUUAAAUAUUUAAAAUUUGCCAAGAAAUUUCAAUAAAUCUCUGAUUUUUUAAUUAUUAUGCUUAAAUAAUCAAAGUUUAUUUAAAAAUAUUGAAAUGGCGAGACCAAAUUUAAUUUUCAUUUUUAGUUUUAAAUAUUUAAAAUUUGCCAAGAAAUUUCAAUAAAUCUCUAAAUACCUGUUUAAAUAAUCAAAAAUUUAUUUAAAAAUAAUAUUCACUACAUAGAUCAAAUCUACUAAAUAAUUUCAAUAAAUAAAUCUCCAAUUAUGUGUUUUAAAUAUUUAAAGACCAAUUUUAAUUUUAAUUUUAAUUUUUAAAUAUUUAAAAUUUGCCAAGAAAUUUCAAUAAAUCUCUAAUUACAUGUCUAAAUAAUCAAAACUUAUCUAAAAAUAAUAUGUUUGGGGUUCACUACAUAGAUCAAAUUUACUAGAUAAUUUCAAUAAAUCUCCAAUUAAGGGUUUUAAAUAUUUAAAUUAUAUUUAUCUACAAAAUUUAUCUAUACUUAAAAUUUGCCAAGAAAUUUCAAUAAAUCUCUGAUUUAUUUAUUAUGUUUAAAUAAUCAAAAAAAAUUAUUUAAAAAUAUCGAACUGGCGAGACCAAAUUUAAUUUUAAUUUUUAGUUUUAAAUAUUCAAAAUUACCAAGAAAUUUCUAUAAAUCUCUAAAUACCUGUUUAAAUAAUCAAAAAUUAUUUAAAAGUAAUAACACUACGUAGAUCAAAUCUACUAAAUAAUUUCAAUAAAUCCCCAAUUAUGUGUUUUAAAUAUUUAAAGGCCAAAUUUAAUUUUAAUUUUUAGUUUUAAAUAUUUAAAAUUGGCCAAGAAAUUUCAGUAAAUCUCUAAUUACAUGUCUAAAUAAUCAAAACUUAUUUAAAAGUAAUAUGUUUGGGAUUCACUACAUAGAUCAAAUUUACUAGAUAAUUUCGAUAAAUCUCCAAUUAUGGAUUUUAAAUAUUUAAAUUAUAUUUAUCAACAUUUGUCCAUAAAUUAACUUCUUUAUCGUAAUGCAAUUAUUUUUUUUUGAAAAUAAUAUAAUAGCUUAGAACUAAUAAAUAAUUCAAUUUAUUACUUCACUAGUUUAAAUUUAAUUACUUCACUAUUUAUUAAAAAAAUUGCUUCACUAUUUUUCAUAAAUUAACUUCUUUCUCAUGAUCCAAUUAAUAUAUUUUUGGAAAAAAAAUAGAGUAGCUUAAAAGUAAAUAAAUAAUUUAAUUUAUAUUUUUCUUUGCCCCAUUUAAUUAACUUCUUAUCAUAUUUUGUAGAAAUAAAUAUGAAAAGCAUAAUAAGAAUAUACGUGCUAUUCGAUAUGUUUACAUAGAUAUGAAAUUAUUCCUAAAAAUUAAUGGUUAGGGCCUAAAGUAAAAAAUUGCGAAAGUUUAGGGACCAAUAUUACAAUUAUUCAGAAACAAAUAGUUGUUUUUUUUAGGGAUAUAUGUGCAAAAAUUACUCUGUGUUUUCAGUAGUUGCACACAGCUUGGAAAAAUCCCAACUUUUCGCCCGCCCCCAAACGCCGCAAUAAAAAAGGCGGGGGCGGGAGCGAGAGCGCGCGCGCGCGGGAAAGGAUGCGGUUCGCGGUGACGAAGGCGUGUGGCGGGGGCGGGAAGGCGCGCGCCGGCGCCCUCUACGUCGGCGGCGGCGGCGGUGGCGGCGCCGCCGUGGUGGAGACCCCGUCGCUCCUCCUCUCCACGCGGAAGGGCCUCCCCGCCUUCGUCUCCCGGGAUCUCCUCUCCACCCUCCCAUCCCCCGAUUCCCACCUCCUCCACGUGAGUCCUAUCCACUUGUAAGAGACCCCCCUCUCUCUCUCUCUCUCUCGCUCUCUCUCUAGAGGUGUGCUUUGAAGGUGUUCGACUAAAUGCCUCUUAGUAAAAAGUUGGUGGUGUGUGGAUGUGUGAUCUCCCUUUUGUUUGUUUCACUCCAAUAUUACUCGUUCUUUGGUAAAAAUGGCUCCUUUAUAUGUCACCUUCUUUGUGCUAUGCUACUAUGACGAUUCAGAGAAGUGUUGAUUCUUUGCAUGCGCGCCCAGGCAAAUAUGUAAAAUUGUGCAAAUUCCCCUUCGAAGUUUGCUAUUUUCACUUGUUGUAUCCGUGAAAACCUUGGUUAUAUAAAGAUUAUCCUGGCCGGGGCGCGUGUGCAAAUCAACAACGUUUUUCGGUAUACUUGGAUAAUUACUUACCUUGCAGUGUUAUUUGCACAAUGUUGCGUAUUUCCGAGGGCAUUUAUGCGAAAUUCUCUUUAGAGAAUAUCCUGUGCAACACUUGUUCACUGCUAUCAAUGCCAUUCCUAUCUGUGUCAUUUGUUACUUUUCUUAUUGCAAUUUUGUUUCCUGCGAUCAUCGAAAUUGUCAAAUGCGUUUUGCUAAGAAUUAUUGUCUUUGCGACUCGCAAUUCGAACCCAUUAGUUGCAUUACACUGUCUUGACAUGUUUAUCUUUCAAAAUCAUACCUUUUUUUUGGUUUUUUCCAAGCAUAUUUUAUUGCGCAGAUGCAAUUCUUAGAUUUCUACACUUACUUUCUUCUAACUGUUUGAGAUAUAUGUAUGCAGCAUUGAGUGCCCUUCAUCGAAAACUAUUUCAAAUAUUGGUGGUUUGCAUCAGAUGCUAGGUUUACAAGAACAUAUCUUAGUAGCCGCAGCGAGUGAUUCGGUUGAGAGUCUACCGGAAAGCGAAGCCUCCAACAAACUUGGAGCAUCAUUCGAAACACCAUCCGGUCGCCGAUUGGUAGUCCUUUAAAUGGUUUUUGUCAGCUCGAAUCACCUUGCUUUUUCAUAUUUUGCAUUUUCGCUAAAUUUGGUUAUCACCUUUCUUUGCUAGGUCAAACCUUCAGAAUACAUGCAAAUGAUUACUUCCAUGAAGCCUAACUUGUGGGCAAGUUUGGCGGAUGAGGUGCCCGCAUGGGUUACUGAGAAGCGGAAUAGAAUUUCUGUUGAUAGAACGCUACGCUGGCUCGAUGAUUGCCUUGCUGUGGACUUGGUGGGUGACAAUUCGACAUGUUUUGUAGCCUGUGGCUUUUAAAAUGUUGCUUUAGUUAGAGAACUCAAUUUAUGCGGAAUUACGGAAAGUGAGAAGCUUCAUGUAUUUUGAUAUAAAGCACAAUGGAUAUUCCGAAGUUGAUGAAUUCUAUGUGCUAUUAUUACUUUUUCAGUUUUUCAGUAAUGUUUUCUUGGUUGUUUGAUUAAAACUAUCCGAGUUCACUAAUAUUUGCAAUUUGUGAUGGUAAGGAAGCUGGGAAAAACACGUUGGGCGCUGUUGUUGGAGGAUCCAAUAUAGAUGAGCGGAAGCGUUGUGCAACUGAAGCGUCGCUACGAAAUGUAGCAGGUAUUCUAAUUUUCAAGUUUGUGCUUAUGGCAUGGGCCAGACCUUUUCUUUUUUCAGGCCUUUUCAAUUUUAGUAGUUUGGUGGUCCUUAUUAGUGCAUUUCAACGAAUAUAAAUAGCGAAAUAUGAUGAAAUUGCGGGUUAACUAUUCAAAAUUAAUUUUGCUUAUGUGAUGAGAUUAGUAACAAAUAAUGAGUGGAUAUUAUAGAUCCACUUACUGCAAUCAUUUGUUUGGGUGAUGGAACUUGCUGAAUUCAAGGAUUAGUUAUGAGAAAUUGUGGUAUUUCCUUUUUUUUUUUUUUAACUGUCAAUUAACUAGAAAGAAUUAUUUGAUAAAAGUAUUUGGAAAAAUAUGUGCAGAUUGUUUGAAUGUGCGAAUCUGAGCUUCCUUGAUACAAUUACAUGACGGAAUUUGAUAAAAUUUAUGAUUAUUUUUUUUUUCAAAUAAUUGAUUUUCUAACUUAAUACCUAUUUUCAUUAACUACAAAUAGUAAUACAAGUUGGUUUAAAUUAGCAAAAAUUGUGGGACAAUCUUUUAGAAAUAUUUAGUUUAUUUUGUGCUAAAAUUGAGCUGGUAUGGUUUUAUGAAACUAACUGUAGCUGGUGUAGAUAGGAACUUUGAUAUAAAGUUCUUUCAUAAGCACCGUGAGUCCAGUGCUUCCACUUUUUCUCAUGUUGGAUUUGGAUUCAGAUCCCUUCGGAAAAGUAGAAGCACUGGCCAGGGGUUGCUAGAAAAAGAAUUUUCUUAUCCUUAGUUUCUUCUUUCAUAAUUUCAGUUUUCUAAGAACCCAUUUAGUACUUUAGCCAUUCUAGGAAUCCUAUCUCGGAUGCUGGCGAAUUGAGCUGUUUAAUAAUUUACUACAGGUUUCUGGAUUGGAGGGUUUGGCCUGGGAGAGAGUAUGGAAGAACGGUUGGCUUUGCUUAAUGCUGUUACGGUAAGUGACUGAACCAUUACUCGGUCUACAUUUGAUUGGUAUUGGGAUUAUUCAACUUUUCAUCUGCUAUCUAUUGCAAAUGUAAAAUCUCAUCGUUUUUUACUCCAAGGAUUCUGUGGUGUUAAUUGUGAAUUUGGAUUGUUUAUUUAUUCAUUAUUUUUUAAAUAAUCUUUUCAUGGCUGUAGAAAAAUCUAAAGUUGGUUUCUCUUCUUUUAGGAUUGCUUACCAGAAGAAAAACUGCGCUAUGUAUCUAGACUUUCGCUUCCAGGUACUGAUGUUACUUUGUUUCUCCAACUAAUGCUUUUAGUCUCGAUGCAAAAGUCGGUUUGAUGUCGCCUCAUUUGUCCUCCUAGAUUUCUACCUUGGUUCAGUUAACAAAUGCUGAGGUCAAUUUUAUGAAAAACAAAUGAAAAAAAGGAGAAAAAGAAGUGCUGGUGUCAUUUUCAUUUUUUAUUUGGUUAAUUGUUUUUAAUUCAUGAUCCCCUCUUACAGAAGAGGUCUUGCAGGGUGUGGCUGCCGGGAUUGAUCUCUUCGACUCCACGUACGGAACGAACAUAAUUUUACUACUUUUUCUUACACCUCAUCUUUUCCUUACAGACAAAAUACACAUUAUGCAAUUGCAGAUACAUCUACCAUCUUACUCUUGGAGGGUUCGCACUUGUGUUUCCUCUCGACAUUGUCGAGAGAGACAAUUGGGAUUCUCGGACGGAUAUUGAAGGUGCGGAUUGCACAAAGAUAAACCUACGGGCAACGAUCUACAGGUGAUUAAUUUAUAUCAAUUCUUAAUUUUAUUCUCUUCACAACGAUGAUUCUACCCAAAAUCCUAGUGCCCGCUCUUUCGCGUUUAGCAUGAAACUGAUCUAUUGUCCGAAAUUUCUUUAAAACCUUUCUCUUAGAGAAAGCACACCUUACUGUGGAGCGAAGUUUGUCUAUGUGGCCCGGAUGUUAUAUCACCAUUGACUUCGCAUCUCGGAGCCAAAAAUAUUGGGAAAUGUAAGUUUAAUAUGCAAUCUCAUAGUUAUUAUGCACCGUAUUUUCUUUCUACAGGAAAGAUACCUCGCCAAUUGUCGAUCGUUGUGGCUGCUUCACAUGCCAGAAUCACACUCGAGCUUACAUUAAUCACCUGCUUAACGUCCACGAAAUGUUGGCUCAGAUCUUACUGGAAAUGUAAGCCGUCGUUUUGUUUCUUUCCCUAAUCUAAUCUCUAUAACAACUAUAAAAAGAAAAUUUUGGGGCCUGCUGAGCCCCGCCAUUUAGCUGUAGGAAACUACCAACAUUUACAUCAUAUAUUCUCACUCGCGCUAUUGUACGCAGACACAAUACUCACCACUAUCUCGGAUUUUUCCGCUUGAUGAGAGAAGCAAUCAAGGGAGGGAAGUUUGAGCUGUUCCGCCAACGGUUCAUAAAGAGGCGGCGUGCUUUCCUAACUGCAGAGGCGCCGUGCUCGUUAUAACCUGUCGUGGAUUUCGCUUCACAUUGGAGUGAUUUGUAAUCUCCAUUUUCGCGAUUACUAAAACUGGGGAUCUGUUCAAAAACUGCAGUUGUUUCGAUCUUUCGAAGCGAUAGAGGGAAGGAUACAAAUUUCAGAUUCUGCUAACUGGAGAAUAUUUGACACUCCGUCGAAUUCGCGCGCGAGUUCGUGCCUGUGAUUGUAUUUUUCCCUUGCAUUGUGGAUUUUCUAAUGCUAACCUUGCAAUUGCCCCCCUUAAUCCAAUGACAUUAAGCUUCUGUGAUACGUGGCAGAGCUCCAAAAGGUUAGAUGUUCUACGAAAGUGAGAAAGUGCAAAAUUUUCUGCGUCACCAUGUUGAAGGAAAACAAAUGUUGAAAAUUUAUUUCGUAGCCAUAUGGUAUUAAAAUAAUGGGAUAAUAUCAAAUAUAUCUCUCAACACUUCUGAAAUAUUUUAUAUAUAUAUAUAUAUAUUUUUUGUUUCAAAUAUAUUUUUCGUAUAUUUUUCUAUUAUUCAAAAAUAAUUUCGCUGGGGUUAAACCAACAUUAAAUUUUUACCGGAAUUGAAAAAAAAAUUAAAUUAUCUCUUUUGUCCCUAACUUAAGGAUAAAUAAGAGAAGUUGGUAACAGUAGAAGGGACAGUAAUUUUACAGAGAUGAUGGAUGUUCCUAACAGUUCAUUAAUAGAAUUUAAUUGUAAAAAUAUAUUUAAAAUAAUUUGGAAUGUUGAAAGGAUAUUUUUUUCAAUUACUAGCUUUUUAAGAGCGAUAAAUAAGAAAGUUGAAAAAUUUUAAGGAAUAUAUAAGCAAUUGCUCCUAAAAUAAUUUGUUCAAAAUUUAUUUUGUUUGAGAUUCCUAAGAUAGUUCAAAAUUCAUAAGAUUGGCAUGAAAAAUAUAAUAAAUUUUUUAAAAAAUCAUUUUACACAUCAAAUGUCUACUUCAGUCAUCAUCAUUGAGCUUUAUUUUGCACUUAUUUAACUUGUUACUUGGGCACCACCUUCUUACUCCAUUACUCUUGCAAAUUAAUCAUUUUAUAAUAUCUAAACCCCCACAACUAUAACUUUAUAUAAUCUUGAGCACUUGUGAGCCAUUUUAUAUUAGAUUUUAAAAAAACCUACAAAUAUUUUACUAUUGCCAACCAUUUAAAUAUGUACUCUUUUUUUUAAUGAAUCUUUGUAGUUUUAUAGCAACAAUGCUUAGUCCUCUGAAAUCCACCUUUGUAUUGACUUAGUGUAAUUAGUUUAAACAAAGACAGAUUACGUUUUUUUUCGAAUUCAGAACCUUUUACUCUGGUACUAUGUUAUUCUUCUAAAACAUAAAUUAACACUUUCUCGUAACGAACAGACCGUCCCUAGAGCAAGUACAAAGGGCUUGGUGGUUGGUACUCGAGACCUAAGUUCGAAUUCUAGUUGAUUCACAUUUUCAGCUAAUUUUAUUUUUAAAUAAAAUAAACGAAGCAGGUAGCGUGCUACCUAUCUCCCAAAAAAAAAAAAACACUUCCUCCUAAGAACCAACCGCACCUAAUGCAGUUCGCUAAGUGCUCAGUAGUUGAUAUCCGACAUCUUAAGUUUGAACCCUAUUGCUUCACAUUUCUAAGUGAGUUCAAUUCUAAAAAAAACUGCACGAAAAAAACCCUUCUGUUUGAUAUCAUGUACCAGUUAUGUAAAAUAAUUAUCAUUCUCUAAAAGUUUAAAUUAACAAAUCUAAAACUUUAAAUAUCAUAAAUGUCCCUCCAAAAUCUAAAAGUUUACAAAUACAUCCUUAAUCAUCCAAAACUAUCACUAACACUCCUAUAAACCUCAAUUUGGAGAAACUAUCACUAACACUCCUAUAAACCUCAAUUUGGAGGGGUAUCUAUGAAAUUACACUCCCCCCAAAAAAAAAAAAACUAACAGUUACAGAGGGCACUUUCAAAACUCAAUGUAGUUGAGGGGCCUUCACACAUUUUUACCAACUCAUCAUCAAUCAACCACGCAUCAACGGUCCAAAAUAACUCCUACCCCUCUUCUUUUUAACAAAAUAAGUCCAAAUUACACAAAUCUUACUAUAAAUAUUCACUUUUUUUACUUUUUUUUUUCUGACUUUCAAAACCUAUAUUUUACUUUUUUAAAAAAAUUUAAAAAUAUUUUCAGGGAAUACUGUAUUAAUGGAGGAGUGCAAAAUAAUCAAAUUACCCCUUUUUUUUUAUAAAAUAAAUUUUUAAUAAAUUCUUAUUAUUUUAAUAAAUAUUUUUGAUAUAAAUUAUAAAAAAUAGACGGAAUAGUGAUGAACCCAGAAGAGAAAGGGACAAAAUAUAACUUGAAAUGAUAAUGGGUAAAAUGUAUGUUUUUAAAAAUUGGAGAAAAAAAAAUUAAAAAAAUAGAUAUUUAUAAAGGAGCUUNAAAGACUUAAUUAAGAGGGAAAAUAAACUUGGCAACAUCGAUCUACUACUUUUUAGAGUAUGAAAGCAAAGAAAAACUGUGCAAAGAUUUCUCUUCUUGCAUCACUAUGGACACCAUGGACUCUCUCUCUCUCUCUCUCUCUCUCUCUCUCUCUCUCUCUCUCUCUCUCUCUCUCUCUCUACACCCCUCUCUCUCUCUCUCUCUACACCUCUCUCUCUCUCUCUCUCUCUCUCUCUCUCUAAACCCUUCGAUUCCCCCUUUUUUUUAGCAAAGUAGAAGAAUCCUAUAAUCCCUCUCCUCUUCCCAUUUCUCUCUCUCUCUGUUUCUCUCCUCCACGUCUUUUUUGGAUAGUUUAAUUACUUAAUUUAUCUCCAAAAUUUGAGAAAAAAUGGACCUAAUUUUGCUGUUUUUGUCCUCGUUUCGAUCAGCUUUGUUGGUCGCCUCCGCGAGUUGCUCCGCCCCUGUUCGCAGAAAAUAGAAAGGUGGGAUUUUUGGUUGGUCGGAACCCUCGUUUCCGACGCAAAGGUGGGAUUUUGAUCUCGCUGCGACGAUUUUCGUCGAGUUUGUGAUGCGGGUUUUGGUCUAAUUAGGGUUUCGAUCGGCGUUCCGGGGGAAAUUUGAGUGUUUUUGUGGAAUGGUGUUUUGAGGGCGCUCGAUUUUGAUUGAGAAAAUUAGGGAAAAAGGAGUGGGAUUGGGGAAGGGGGAGGGGGGAGAGUUUGUGAAUUGUUCAUCUUAUGGGUUGCAUUUGUUCUAAAGGGAUCGCCACCGAGGAGAAUGUCGAGACCCUGCGAAAGGCCUCCAUCUCGAGCAAAUCGUUGAAGCGAUUCGUUACUCUAUCGAAGAAAGGGGAGGCAAUUGUGCCGAGCUCCGAUGCACCGGUUAUAGUCGAUGGUGGGGGAACACUUAGGGUUAACUCGAAGCCGAAGGAAAAUGGGGUGGUCCUGAUUCCUGUGACCGUCGAUGCGGCGGAGAAGAAAAAGGCGGGGGCGGUGGCGGCAGCGGCCACGGCCGAGAAUAGGGCGAGGAAGCCAGUGGGACAUCAUAGAAGGGCCACCGUCGAUGUCGGUGCCAACGGGACAGAGGAUGACAACGCGAGGGUCGGCGACGCGGAGCCCAAUUUGGGGAUCGGCGGAGUGCCCAACGGGUUCUCGGGGGAGCACGCGAUCGCCGGUUGGCCUUCUUGGCUCACGGCGGUGGCCGGGGAGGCCGUGAAAGGGUGGCUUCCGCGAAGAGCGGAUUCUUUCGAGAAAUUGGACAAGGUAAUCUUUUGGAGGGGUUUAUUGCAAAUUUAGUGCCUGAAAUUUGAUUCAGAUUUCAAUUUCGUCGUCUUUACUAUGUUGUGACAAUGUGUGAAUUUCAUGUUUAAUCUAACAUGAUUCUAUUGUUUUGAGGUUUCCUUCUGUUUGAUUAAAGAAAUAUUGGAAUAUGAUUCUAUUGUUUUGUUAUUCAGAAAAUGAACAUAAGUAAUCUGGUAAUGAUGGUGAUGGUAUUGAUGACGACGACGACGACGAUGAUGCAAUAUUAACAUGAACAACACUAUUCUAUGACAUUUUAGUGCUAACACCUAGACAUUGAUAUGAAAAACUUUUGCAGAUUGGGCAAGGAACUUAUAGUAAUGUAUAUAGAGCCCGUGAUCUUGAAACCAGUAAGGUAGUCGCCCUCAAGAAAGUUCGGUUUGUCAAUAUGGAUCCAGAAAGUGUUCGAUUUAUGGCUAGAGAAAUCCAUAUACUGCGGAGACUCGACCACCCGAACGUUAUAAAACUUGAAGGCAUAGUAACAUCUCGGAUGUCGAAUAGUUUGUAUCUUGUCUUCGAAUACAUGGAGCACGAUCUUGCUGGGCUCGCGGCAACUCCAGGUCUUAAGUUCACCGAGCCGCAGGUACAUGAUCUGAUAACACCUUAAAAUUCUAGUAUGGCUAUAUAAUGUAGGAAACCAUCUAUAGAUGUAGCGACAGGUGAGCCGGGUGGCAAGAACCUGACACAACCUGUUACUGUAGUUCUUUAAUCAUUCCAUAAUACUUAUAAAUACCAAAUUUUUUUAUGUAAAUAUCAGGUCAAGUGUUACAUGCAACAACUACUUCGAGGACUCGAUCACUGCCACAGUCGUGGAGUACUACAUCGAGAUAUCAAGGGCUCGAAUCUUUUGAUCGAUAAUAAUGGCAACCUUAGAAUAGCGGACUUUGGCCUCGCGACAUUUUUCAAUCCUGAUCAGAAGCAGCCAUUGACGAGUAGAGUUGUCACGCUGUGGUAUCGACCUCCCGAGCUUUUGUUGGGUGCCACGGAGUAUGGCGUAGCGGUUGAUUUGUGGAGUACGGGUUGCAUCCUCGCAGAAUUGCUUGCUGGAAAGCCAAUCAUGCCAGGACGAACUGAGGUAUAGAGCAUUCUUCAAGCUUUGAUUAAUGGCAUUUACGAAUUUCACAUAUAUGAUACGAUAGAGUCCUCAUGUAGUCGCAUUUGUUCAUGGGUAGUGACAUCGUUAGACAGAAAUUGUUACUGACAGGUCAUUGUUUACUAUAUAGAAGUUGUUGGGCCAAAUGAACCUACUCUGUCAAUAAUAAUUUUAGAUUUGCCGAUAUCGGUAGCCUCCUGCCGUUCAUGCCUUGCAAAUAAUGAAUGUUCAUAGUCGUCCUAUUUAUGGUUUCAUUUUCGUUCUUCUUUGGAUUAGAUACUUCUUCCUCCACAGAGGCGCAGACAAAAACUCAGUGAACUCAGUUUCGCUGAACAAUUUUUCAUAAAGAUGUAGUUUAUGUAAUGAGAAUGUGCGUCAAGGAAGAUUCCCGUUACUGAUAGACAAUAUAAGUUGCAUCGCUGCUCAUCCUUUUAGCAUUCAUUUUAAUAUGGUACGGAAUCUUUCAAAAUAGGGGCCCUAACCUGUGCUUUAAUCUUUCGAUGAAAUUCCUUCCUAAGAUUAGACCAGUUUAUUAACAUAAUAUUUAGUUGUGGACCGAGCUGAAACCUAAAAGGAGUGGAGAUCUCUUAAAAGUGUAGAUAGUUCCUGUUUUAUCUAAAAUUUGACUAAACGUUUCCACCAAUUGGCUUUGUUGACUGACUUGUUUUCCUACGCACCGUCUAGGUGGAGCAACUCCACAAGAUUUUCAAGCUGUGUGGAUCACCAUCAGAGGAGUAUUGGAAGAAAUCAAAGUUGCCGCAUGCAACUAUUUUCAAACCUCAACACCAAUACAGGCGCUGUUUCGCCGAGACGUUCAAGGAUUUCCCUCCUCCGGCUUUAGCUCUCUUAGAUUCUCUACUUGCAAUCGAACCAGCUGCUCGGGGAACAGCAGCUUCAGCUCUUCAGAGCGAAGUAUGUUUUUGACUCUUGUGAUAAAUUUCAUGCCUUCUUUCUAGACUAUUUGAAUAUUUUUCCCUUAAACAAUGGAGAUGCGAUACUUUCCGUGAGCAUGCUAGGAAACAAAACUAAUUAGUAUUCUUUGCUUUCUAAACUUAAAAAGUAAAUUCUAUCAUCUGUUAAAGAGGAGAAUGGUUUUGCAAUAUUCUUCUUUCUCAUGCUCAUAUUUUUCACUUGAGUUUUUUUGUCUCCAUUUUUAACUGAUAACUAGUUAAAAAUUUUGUUAGUUUUUCAGAACAAAGCCGUAUGCAUGUGAUACCUCGAGUUUGCCUAAAUACCCACCAAGCAAGGAGUAUGAUGCGAAGCUUCGCGAUGAAGAAGUUAGAAGGUAUUUUUCUCGAAAUAUUGCGUUUAACUAUAUUUGCUAUCAUUAGGACACACUUACAUAUUUUCUUCUAAUUAUAAUAGAAAUUAUAGUGUUCCAUGGUUCUUAAAUUAUUUACCAUGUGUUUUUGUCCUUACAGGCAAAAGGCGGCAGCUAUUAAUGGCCGGGGAGCUGAAUCUAUAAAGCCGAGGCGAAAAGAAUCUAAAGCAAAUCCAGUUCCCAAUGCCAAUGCAGAGCUUCAGGUAAUCCUAAAUGUAGUUUUAUGAGGUUGACACUUAUUUUUGGUGUUUGCAUACAAAAAUCUCAUUGUGAAGAAGAUUUAUCAAUUCUUAAGAAGUGCACAUGAUUUUCCAUCGUUUAUGCAAUCAAUUUUAGCUCGUGCCAAACUUAUGUGUCUAUUUUCUUUUUUUACGCUUCCAGAAGCGACAUGUACAGGCAAAUCCAAAAAGCAGGAGUGUGAAGUAUAGCCCACUGGAGGAUAGCGGAGCCGGGUUCCCCAUCGAGCCCCCCGGACUACCCGCAGCUAUGCACACGGCUCAAUUCGGAUCAACAUGGUAUAAUAAGAAGGGUAAUCACGAUGAUCAUCGCGGAGUUCCGGAGCGCACGUAUAGCUCCGUUAGGGUCGCAAAUGGCCCUCAGCUAAAGACACAACGAUCCUAUAAGCCUCAAGCCGGUGGGACCGACUUGCACAGCUUAUCGGUUUCGGCUGCGGGGAGAAGCACUGCUCACCCGAGAUACAAUCGGCUCGAUAUCGUAGAGUCCUCGGAGAAGCAUGUGCUCGAUCGGCCUGCCUCUUCUCACAAGAAAGAUUUAGGAGUCAAGGACUCGGCAGUGGUAACUACUUACUUAAACUGUUGUUUAUUAUCACAUUGGCAUUUUGUUAAGGCACUUGCGACGCAUUUGCGCAUUCUCAGUUUGUGAUGCUUAAUGUGGUUACCGUUAUUGGCAAAUUCAGGGUUACGGAGGCAAGAUCAAACGAAUCCAUUACUCGGGGCCAUUGAUGCCCCCGGGAGGGAACGUCGAAGACAUGCUUAAGGAGCAUGAGCGGCAGAUCCAACAGGCUGUGCGCAAAGCUCGCCUAGGCAAAGACAAGACGAACAAGUAGCUUACAUUGAGAAAAGCUGCUUGCAAAAGCACUUUUUUGCAACAAACAGCAUCUACUGAGAAGGGUUUACAGACGCAGAAUCGACUCGCUUAUGUUUACAGCAAAACGGAGAAAAAUGCAGCUGAGUUCUUCGCGGCACGAGAACUAUGUAGAGCACGAAAUGAGGAGAUGAUUUCCGAAAGUAAUUUUUGUGAAUUAUGUAUACCUCUUACAAAGCCUUGUAAAUUAAACCCAUCACUAUGAAUGUAUACCUUGUGAGUUGGCAACUUUUAGUGGAACUGCCGGGAAAAUCGCUUUCUAAGGAAGCUGUUCCGGCAUUUGUUGGAGUGUACGGAUGUGCUGAUGUAAAGAAAGGAAUUGCUUGUCGAGAGGCGUAAAAAAUGCGAAAGUCUCUAUGCAAUUUUAAGAACAACAUAUGCAAGGGAUUUGAGCUUUUAGGGUUCUGAGUGAAUGUAAAUGCUUGUUGUAAAAUGUGUAUUAUUUGGAUUACCUCUUAUUCCUGUUUUGAAUGUGCAUCUUCAUACACUAUAAAGUUAUUAUUCUUAAUUUUUGUAAUCUUAAAUAUGAAGCAGGAUUGAUUAUUGGGAAAGAUAUAGUUGUUAUUGUAAAAUAGAAGAUCUACUUCACUCAAAAGAAAAUGAACACUUGAUCUUUAUAUUUUUGAGGUCUAGUUGUCUCGGUUCUGUAGCUAAGUUCAUCUUCUUAGUGAAAGAAUCAGUAGCAUACUAUAUUUUCUCCAAAAAAAAGAAAAAAAAAAAAGCCCUUCAAAUUGUAUAAAUGCUACUCUUUUUUAUCAUAAUCUUAAUAUAAUUCAGUAUCCUGCAACAUUUCAUUUCACUUCUUCUAGUAAUGUUUAAAUAAUUCUGUUUUGUUGGGGAACAACUGUUUAAACAAAUUCUCGAUUGUAUCCUACAAAAUUGAUAUUUUGGGUAAGACAAUAUCAGAGUCAGUUCUAAGCCACUUCUGUUUUAAGAGAUCGGUCAUUUUAUGGCACAUAUUUAUCUACUAUCCUGCUAUUUUUCUUAGUUCUCUCUUUAGUCAAUUACUGACCGUCCUUAGUGCAAGUGGCAAUUGUUUUAUAUUUUCAUUAAAGUUUAUUUCUUAAAAAAAAAAAAAACAAACGAAGCGAGUAGCAUUUUGCAUUUCUCUCUCAAAAAAAAAACUUUUUAGUCAAUCCGCGUGGCACGGUUCAUCUGAUAUCCACUAUGCGCAUAAAUAGACGAUUUAAGGUAGAUUCUGUACCAUUUCCUACUAGAUCAAUCUUUAGAUUACCAACAUCAAGGAGAUAACCAUAGAUUAAUCACUAAUGAAGUACAUAAAACACAAUAUGAACAUACUUUACAUAGAUUACUUAUGAAGUACAUAAAACAAUAUUAACACACUUUAUGCACCCUUUUCAGUUGAAAACUUCAGAGUCAUAACAAAGUACUAGCAACAUCUUUAAGAACCAUAAAACUAACACAGGAUAUUUUCACAGAAAAAGAAAAAAAAAAGAAGAAGAGAUCCAAGUUCGAAUCCUAGUUGAUUCACAUUUUCAGCUAAGUUUAUUCCUAAGUGAAAUAAACGAAACGGGUAGCGUGCUACCUAUCUCUCUCUCAAAAAAAAAAAAGAAAAAAAAAGAAAGAAGUUUCAAUCCAAUCCCGGAGGACGAAACAACGGGAGCGGCGGUGGGAAAGGGUACGGCGGUAACGGCACCGGCGGUAGGGGCUCGACAUAGCUGCAGAAUCCGUAGAGACAAAAAUAUCCGAACGGACAACGGCGGUUACACUUGCCGCAGUGGAACCGACAACGGCGGUUACACUCGCCGCAGUGGAACGGACUUGUCAUAACGUUCCUGCAGAAUCCGCCGUAGCAUCUCCACCGGAACGGGCACUGGACGCCGCAGAACCUGCAGUUGUUCGGGUCCGACCGCAGGUCGACGCAGCGGUCGCUGCAGGUAUGUAUAGUCACAACUUCAGCAUUCGGACGCGAAUUCAGAGAAAUAUUCGAGCAAUCAACAUGUUGAGAACUUUACAGAACUUAGUGUGAACUAUGAAUCAUUUUGAUUUGCUUAUUCGGCCAUUUAGUUUAUUUAAUUUGAGUCGGUCAAUAACACUUUAACUUCAAAAUUAGAAAGCGAUGGAAUUAAUCAGCAUAUUUCAUACAAUUCUCACAACUAUAAAUUUAUUAAAGUAAUUAAUUAAUUUAAAUAAACUGAAAAGCUGGGUAGCCGUUUCAAAUUGAUGCAUAGUUUGGAUAAGUUUUGUAUAUUUUCACCAAAAGGCAUUGGAAAAUACUAAGAUUGUACCUGCAACAAAGUCGCGGUGUGAAGGUUGGUAGCCCCGCCCAGCAAAUCCACGGUCGGUACCUACACCGGGACUCCCUCGGCCUCUGACCGCCACCCCAUCGAGCCAGGGGGGCGUGACGGUCACGACAGCGACAGCGGCAGCAGCAAUGGUGUUGUUCAUGUGCCGCCUGUCACGGACAAAUAUUUUCCGCUGACUUCUCUUUGACAGUGGCCCAACUUCGCUAGCGGAGCGGAUCGUUAAAGAGACCCAAACCCAACCCGCUGUGGGGAGACGAAGGGUUUUGUAAUCUCUCCCAUCAAUGAUGGAAGCUCAAGGGUUAUGAAACUACCAAAAGUUAAUAGGGUGACUCUUGGGCUUUUGGCUCACUAUGAGGGUGAGUUAAUGUGUGUCAUAAUGAGAGAGUUAGUGUGUGUCUAGGUUCAUUGUAUCUAGGAACAUAUAAGUAGUGGAGUUUGGCUAAGGUCAAAACACACAAGAGAGAGUGUGUAUGUGAGUUGUAAUUCUCAUUUUCUAAGUAGUGUAGUACUUAACUUUUUGAGAGAACCUCUGUCUUUUUUUCUUGUGUCAUUCCUUUUGCAUACUUAGUCGUAGGACGCGAAGGUCCGGACUAGCAACAGGGACGAAGGCUUGCCCAUCUUCGAGCAGGAAGGUGGGCGCCGCACGGGCUUUGCGAACAAAAACGCUAAGGCCGUGACACGCCGCUCUACUUUUUGUUCAUUGUCGUCGUCGUCGUCAUCAUCAUCUUCUUUUCUUUCUUCUGCGACGAUGUCGCGGGACGCAACAUGUGUAACGUGUUGCUUCUAACAAGUACACCAUUGAAACACAUACUACCAUAAUAGUAAAGAUCACUAAUAAGAGGGAGAGUUUUGGAACCCAUUUUGUAUAUAAGUUUUGGUACAAAAUAUUGGUGGUUUGAAACGGGUGGCGGGGAAUUUAAAUACGGGGGAAAGGAAUCGACCGUUACGUAUUAUUUCCCGCGCAAAAAACGGGUGGCUUCAUGCUCUCCUCGGAGUGUGAAUUAGGUGUUAGACUUGUGACCACAUAUAGAAAAGUUAAAAAUAGGGAAAACUUCAAAAACCCCCCGUGGUUUCACACUUUCUUACUUGAGUACCACAUGAUUUAAAGUGUAUCAAUUUGGUGCCAUAUGGUUUCAAUUUUAUCUUUUCGGCAACUUUUUCGUUAAUAUUUCGUUAAAUUAUAUACAAAAAACUUCAGAUACCCACCUAGGUUUAUCGUAUAUUCAUUUUAGUACCUUUUAAUUUUAACUUUGUUACUGAUUUAAGAAAAAAAAAUAGUGAAAUUGAUAAUAAGAAGAGAAAAAUGAAACCGCAUGGCACCAAAUUGAUACACUUUAAACUACAGGGUGCUAAAGUGAGAAAGUGUGAAAUCACAUAGGUGGGUUUUUAAAGUUUCCCCUUAAAAAUAUAUAACAGAUAAUUUAUUAAUUUUUUAAAAUCAAAAGAUUUUAAUUUUUAUACAGAACAUUGUAGUCCCCACGUCUAAUAGGUCAAAAUUAUUAAUCAUCUAAAAAAUUUCUGUAAACACAUGGAAUAGAAUAAAUAUUCCUACAAAAUUUAACUUUUCAUAUUUAUCCCUACAAAUUCUAAUAUUUUCAAACAUACCAAUGGAGUUAGAAUCUGUUAGAAAAAAUAUAGUUAAUCAUAAUUAAAAUACUUAAACUUAUUUAUUGAAUAAGAUAAAUUGAUAUUUUUAUCCCUUUAUAUUAUUUGUGAUGAUAGAAAAAAAAAAAGAAGAUGAUCGUUGAAAAUUUUUAAAAGAAUAUUUCUACAUAAUUCUACAGAGAACCUUUGAACUUUAGAUCUUUUGCAAUUAGGUGCCUGAACUUUCAGUUUUGGUAACUAUAUCUCCUAAAUUUUAUCAAAUUGUUCAGUUGAUCACUCCACUCAAGUGAACUUGUUAUUAAUUACAAAGCUAUUUUCUGAUCGUAUGUCAUAUAUAUAAUUUUAUUAAACUUCCAAAUAUAAAGAAAUCUAUUUUUUUUCCAAUUUCGAUAAUUUAGUAUAACGAUCAAAGAAUAAGUUGAACCGAACUUUAAUUUUUAUUAAGGUUUUACAUGUUAGAAUACAAGAAAAGGAAAGAAUUUUGUGCCUUAAAGCUUCGUAAACCAUAUGCAAUACAUAGGUCCAAAACAGUUGAAUAAUUAGUAAUUUUAAUUGAAAGAAAAGAUUUAUUAAACUAUUUGACAAAGUUUAAGAGAUCUAAUUUUUAAGGAUAAAUUACACUUUUGGUCCUCAAACUAUGACGCGUGUGACAAUUCAGUCCUCAAAUAUUAAUUCUAGCCAUUUCUAGCUUGACUUUUCUGAAUUAUUGCUAUCAAAUCUCACAACCUAAUUUUUGACUAAAUGUUGAUGAUUUACUAUUGUACAAUGUGUUGCGGGAUUGAUUACAAUAAUUCAGAUAGUUCGAAUUAGAAAUAAUAACAAACUAAAGUUCGAGGACUAAGUGUUAUGCAUUCCAUAGUUUGAGGACCAAAGUUGUAAUUUAUCCAAUUGCUAAAAUAAAAAAAAUUGGGUUAACUGCAUACAGCUCCUUGUAAAUAUAUCAAAUAGUAGAUUUAUCCCUAUAGUGUUCAACUUUUUACAUUAUCCCUACAAAAGUUCUAAUAUUUUUAAAUAUGGCCUUGUUAUUAAGAUUCAUUAGAAAAAUGAAGUUAUCCAUAGGUAAAAUAUUUAACCCUAAUUAGUAAAUAAGGUAAAUCGAUCUUUUAUUUUUUUUAUAUUAUUUGUGAUGGUAAAAAGAAAGAAAAUGACUAUUGAAAAUUUUUGGAAGGAUAUUUCUGAAUAAUUCUAACAGUUCGAGCUUUUGGAGAGAUAUAUUUGUGAUAGUAAAGAUGUCAUUUCACUUAUCUUUUGUUAAAAAAUAAACAGCACUUUAACGGUAACAAAUAUGAAAAGCUAAAUUUUAUAGUGAUAUAUAUUUGCUAUUCGAUAUAUUUACAAAGAGCCGCAUGGAAUUAACCCAAAAAUAAUUUAGACAAGUAUGUGUAAAAGAGCUAAAGUUUAGGUAGUUUUUGUGUAUUUUUCCUGGCAAUUUUAGUAGCUGCGGGCGAAGUCGUCGCUGGAUUGGUCUUAUCGGAGAACACGUUGCCGACUUUGGAAAACUAACAGCUGGAGAUUGGUUUCUCUCUCUCUCUCUCUCUCUUUCUCUCUCUCUCUCCUCUCCACAACCUCUCUCUCUCUCUCUCUCUCUCUCUCUCUCUCUCUCUCCUCCCCCAAUUUCCGAGCCCUCGAUCGAUCGCUCCCCCUCUCUCUCUCUCUCUCUCUCUCUCUCUCGCUCAUUCUCCUCGUUUUAGGGUUUCGAUCGCGCCUGAAUCCCGCUCCCAGGGGAGGGGGGAAGGGGCCUCAAUGUCGCCAUGGAGUGCUCCGUUCUAUCGCGAUCUCGAUUGAGGUGGUUUUGUAUCCGCAAUUCCCCUCUUUUCUUCGCAUCUUCUCUUCGGUUUUUCGGUGAUUAUUUCGUAAUUAGGUCCUUCGGUUUGCUGAUUAAGUGUUAAUUCUUCGGGGAAUUGUUCGUAGGAGCGUGAAAUAUAGAGAUUUUGGAGGGAUUUUUGGGUUUCUUCUAUUUAGGGUUUGUAAAGUAGUAACGCGGAUUAGAAUUACGAGGGGAAAAAAAUUAAAAAUUGUUUUUGUGCACCUUUUUUUCUUUUUUUUCGCUUUUUUGAUGUUUUUGGCUUCAUUAGGCCAAUUAGGUUGUGUUUGUUUAUGAAAGUUUUGUCCUUUAUAAUGUUGGUAAUAUGAUUACAAAAUGUUGUGUUUUUUGUUAUGUUUUUUUUUUUGUAAAAAAGAUAUUAUUUUUUGUUUUCUAUGCGAUUGAACAUAGAUUGGUGAUUAAUUUGUGGACUCAUUGUAUUAAAACAUAGAAAUGAAGUAAAAAAAAAAAAUGGUUACUACUGCAAUUUUGUUACAUGAAUCCAUAAAUGUGGAGUUGUUGCAAAUAAUGCACAAAAGUAAAACUAUGAGAUUGCAUAAAAUUCGAGAAAAGAAAAGGGAAAAAUUAAAUGUAAAUAAUGUCGAAAAUGCACUUUUGGAUUUGAAAAAUAUAAGUAGGUAUUAAACAUGUACAUAGGAGAUUCCAUGCUUUAGUUUACAAGCAAUCAACUAUUUGAUUGGUUUUGUAUCUGUUUCGUUUCAGAAGUUAUCUUUGAGAUUCUAUGUUGCAUUUUGAAGUUUCUCUUUUUCGAAUAGAGAUGAUGCAAACAUGCACAUGUUAGAUUAUGUAAAACUACUGUUGUUUUUCAAAAGCUUAAGCUAUCAGAUGAAUUAAAUGGUAGGAAAUUAAUAAUGUUAGAAACUUCAUGAGAUUCGAACUCGUGACCUCGUGCUCUGAUAUCAUGUUAAAUUGUGUGAAACAAUCGUUGUUCUUCAAAAGCUUAAGCCAACAGAGAAUUGGUGUUUUUAAUAUCCAUAUUCAACAGCUCAUUGUUAUGUUAAACAUGUUUACUCGUGUAGAGUUUUAAGCCUAUCUGGUAGCUUGAAUCUCUGAUGGUUUUGAUUCAUAUGCAUCUUACUUAUAUGAGCAUUUUCAUUUUUUUUCCAUUUAUUAUCUAUGCCAUAUCUCGAAAUUCUUACUGUAUAACCCUCAAAACUGAGUAUGUGCUACGCGAGUUAUGGAGUGCCAAUUCUUUCUACCUUAGACUCGCGCAUCAAAGAUCGAGAGUUUAAUCUUGGCGUGCAAAAUGAUGUAUUUUCGCAGGCACCUGGUGAGCAACAGCGAUUGCGAGAAGGUCGCUACCAUAUUUAUAAUCAGGGGUAAUUCUAGUAUCAAUGCGAAGGAUAGAGAGCAUGCUUUGUGGAAUCCCUGCUUCGGCUGAUGCACUUGAUCAGUCUCGCCACCGAUACAUUCGGUGUAAUAACUAUCUCUCUUGUCUCCCUUCUCUCUCUUCUGGGCCUCCUUUGCAUCUACCGCUCGUUAUAUUUCCAGCUGCGCAUUCGACGACGGCGCUUCCUCCAUCUCAGCUACUUUAAUGGACCGUGGGUUACCCGCAUCACCCUGAUCCUGAUCUCGAUAUGGUGGGGCUUCGGGGAGAUCAUCCGAUUGAGCUUUUUGCAUGGCGCGGGAAAGCUCUUUUCGAGCCAAACGUGCCAGAAGAACGUGUGCAAGUUCUACGUCCUGUCGAACCUUGGGUUCGCGGAGCCAAGCGUGUUCCUUAUGCUCGCGUUCCUCCUCCACGCGGCGCUCCAGGAGCGCGAGUUCACCUUGAGCCAAAGAUGGAACCGGAAGACCAUCAGCUGUGUCGUGCUUCUCUGCUUCCCGGCUAUUCUCUGGCAACUUGCCCUAGUUUUCAUCGGGCCCAAGUUUGCUAACCGGGAGAAGAGCGAUAAGAGAGUGGACAUGAUGAGGCUCUUCACCUCGACCUCUUCGCUCAGCGACGGCACCGUCACAUGCACAUACCCCUUGUUGAGCACCGCAUUCCUCGGGGCUUUCUACAUUAUACUGAUCACCUACGUAACAUACAUCGGGAGCCGGAUGCUGUCGCUGGUGAUCAACAAGGGGCUAAGGCGAAGGAUUUACGUGUUGGUGUUCUCCGUCAUCCUGUUCCUGCCGAUGCGGGCGCUCCUUCUGGGGUUCUCGGUGCUUCCCCGGCCGGGCGGCUUGGCGUACGAGGCGAUCGUGUUCCUCGCCUUCGUCAUGAUGUUGUUUUGCACCAUGGUGGGGAUUGUUAUGCUGGUGUAUUUCCCCAUUGCUGAUACCUUGGCUCUGGGGGAGCCAGAGCAUGUGGAAAUGGAAGGGGUGCCCUUUGAUGACUACUACUAGUUUGGUGUUUUCUCAUGAAUUUUUUUUUUUUUAAAAAAAAGGAAAAAAGAAAACAAAGAAGGGAUUUGAAUUUGUUUUACUAUUCUUUUCUAAAUUUUUGUGUUUUGAAUUCAAAUGUGACAUGAUAUCAGUUUUGUAGUAAAUAUAAAAUUAAUGCCAACUAUUUGAGUAAGGUUUGUUUCCUCUUGCUGUAGUCAACUCCUUAACCAUGUCAAGCAUGUUGAACUGAUCACAAAAUUCUCUACCAAAUCAGAUGUUGCUCAACUACAGCAAAAUUUUAAAAGGAUAUUAAAAUUUUUAAAAGGUAAUUGAAAUAUUUUUAUAGGAAUAUACAGGUAUUGAUUUUUUUUUUUACUUUUUUGAGUUAAAAUGUAUAGAACUUAUUUGAACUAAAAACCAUUUUGAAUUGGCUAUAUCAUCUUUCAAAAUUUUGAUUUUACUAUUUACCAUUUUAAUUUGUUUGAUUUAAAUUAGUCUACAAUUAUUUGACUUCAUUGGAGUUGUGAGAAUUAUAUAAAGUAUAUUAAUUGAACUUUUUAAGAUAAAUGACGCAUUUAAAUUUUAAAGCUAAAAAUAUCAUUAAUCGACUCCAAUUAAAUUAAAUUUUGAAAACUUAAAUAGUUAAUUAAUUAAUAGAGAUAAAGUUCACAUCUUUUGAAUUCGUUUGAUUCGGGUAUAAGUAAGAGCUAGCUAUUACAGGGAUAGGAGUAUGGGGAUAAGAAAAAUAGCGUUUGAAUGAAAAUUGGAUUGUUUUCGGGGAUAAAAAAAUAGCGAGAAAAAUAGUGAGUAGUUAUAUAUAAAAAAUUAAGGUGUUGAUGGAAAUAGUUAUAUCAGCUUUCAGAUAUUCAAGAAUAACUAUUCUCGAAUAAAAAAUUUGUGUUUAAAUAUAAAGGGGAUAGGGAUUAUCCCUCUUCAUAUCUCUAAUCUAAACGGUGCCGUGUGGUGUUGAUGAUGGUGAUGAUAAAUAAAUAAUAAUAAUAAAUAAAUAAUAAAUAAAUAAAUAAAUAUAAAGCAAAACUAUGGACACGUGUCGAUAAUCGUCUGCUUCCACGUACACAAACUCUCUCUCUCUCUUUCUCUUCCUUUUUCCCCACAACGAAACAUACCUUCCCUCUCUCUCACUUCACCCCUCGAACUCAACUUCCUCCUCUCUCUCUCUCUCUCUCUCUCUCUCUCUCUUCAUCGCCAUGAACGAGACCUCCGAGCUCCGGGACUGGGAACUCCUCCAGGCUUCGUGUACAAGCCCUCCCCUCCGCGCCCCGCUCUCCGCGGAGAACCCUAGCGGCCCCUUCGAGGCGGCCGACGACGCCGACUCCGAGGACGGCGCCAUCAAGCCCGACUACUUCGCCCCCGACUCCCGCCACCUCCGCCGCCACGCCGCCGACGAGGACGAUUCCGAUAACCCUAGCUGGGUCGACCCCGACCCCGACUUCAGGUCGGGAGCCGAAGCGGCUUUCGCGGGAAGUGGUUUCCCGGUGAAGAACUACGGCGGGUUCUGGUCCGACGACUCUUCGGAAGUGGACGGGUUCGAGGGAAUCGACGGUGGUGGGGAUCGGAGUUUGGGCAGCGACGGUGAGAGCGGAAGGGAUUUGCGUCGUGCUCGUGAGGUGUUUGAUGAAAUGCCGAGGAGAGAUGGAGGGAGCGGAGGAGGGGAGAGGAAAGGGGUGGUGUGGUGGAAGAUGCCUCUGGAGAUGUUGAGGUGUUGCGCUUUCAAAAUGAAGCCCUUUUGCUACAUCUCCAUUGCUGCGGCUGUCGUGGGGUUGUUUAUGCUUGGUAGGAGCAUGUACAAGCUGAAGCAAAAGGGUAGAGGAGUUUCUCUUAGGCUUGCCAUGGAUGAUAAGGUGAGAAUUUUCCUUCAUCUUGGUGCUGUUACGUACAAAUUCAUAUUUAUCACUGCUUUGUUGUUGCAAAGCUUUAAUUCUCAUCAAUGAUAUCGUGCAAAAGUUUCGAACUUUUGGAUAAGUUGGCUAUUAAAUUUUCACUGUUAGAACUGUUAUGCCCGUAAUUUUUUUUAGUAUUUUUUUAUAUGAUUAGGAUUUAGUAUUAAUGUAGAAUGACAUAGAAAGAAUAAUAGUGAACUUUAUGUUGGCUUAAAGGUGCUAGCAUCUUGCCCUAUGGCAUGAGGUCAAGUUGGGCCGAGUCAUGUUGGAAAUGGCGGGAGGCAAGGUUGGGUCGAGUCUUGUUCGAAGUGGUAUGAGGGUGGUCAGGUCGAGUCACAAUCGAGACCCGUGCGAGUUGUGUCUGUACAAUUUAAGUGAUUGCUCGUGUAUUACGAACACUUCAAGUUUUGGUAUUAAUAGUUUGCGUUAAUGAUCCGGCACGUUAGAUAUGGAAAAUUAAGGUGGAAGUAUUUUGAAAGAGAUUUUGAAGGGUAGAAUGGUCAUUUUAAAAUGAAGCACAAGGUCAGGGGUGUUUCACUUAAUAUUGCCAUUAGUGACAAGGUGAGGUGUUUUUUUAACUUUAUCUUGGUGCUAUGUUAUUUUUAUCGGUUAAUCUGGUAGGGUCGUAAAACAAGAACCUUAGGCCUUGUUUGGUACCUUUGUUCUUUUUUAAACUUUAAAGAAAAUAAAAUUUCUAUGUAAAAUAGUGUGAAAAUGGAUGGUGGAUUGUGUGCAAUCCUUACAUCCAAGGUCUUUGAUUGGCAACAAAAGACAAAACUUGGAAGCAACUGUUUUUUUGCCUCCAUUUUUUUUUAAAAAAAAAACCAAGUUAUCAUCCAUCAUUAGGCUAGAGUAUAUAACAAGCUAACUGAGCAUAAGAACAAAAGAAAAGCCUUUUCACCGGUAUAUGAAAUUAUACACAGUUAGUAUUUAUAUAAAAAAGCAAAUACUAAUUGUUAAAUGCUUGUUUUCACUUUGAGCAGUUUUGACCUUGAACUAUCCCAUGUCAUCAAAUGAACUUUCAUUUCGGACCAUAAAGAAAUCCUGGUAUUCCUGUAAUGUACUCAUUUUGUAAAAUAACUCCUUUGUUUAAGUGCAUUUGAAAUAGGAUCAAAAUGAUUAUUGUACAGGGGAAAAAAGAAUGUCAGAUCUUUUAUUUGCCAGGGAUUGGAUGCAAUAAAUUAGAUAGUAAAAAGUUUAGGGACUGAGUCUCAAUGAAGUCCCCGAACUCUUGAUAGAGGGACUAAAUGUACAUUUUAUCUUUCUUUAAUCCUCUUAGUAUUAGGCCUUCUUCACUUGUUCUGCUCCAGGCAUGCUUCUACUCUUAUUAAAAAUGAAUCAAAUCAUUGUGGUCUUGUAAAUACAUAAAGGCUGCGUUUGGUUCGGGUAUAAGUAAGAACUGCUAGUUCUAGGGAUAGGUACAAGUUCAGGUAUAAGCAGGAACUAGACCAAUUUUGCGUUUGGAUGAAAAUUGGGUUGUUCCUAGGAAUAAGGUAAAUAGUGUUUGGAUGAUUAGAUUGGAACAAGAGGAAUAAACGUUAUAAUUUGAAAUUAAAAUUAUAUUAUGUAAUUAAUUAACAUAAAAAUAUUACUUAAAAAUAAAUAAAAAAUUAAUUAUUAAUAAUUAAUUAUAAAUAAUAAUUAAUAAUAAUAAUUAAUUAUAAAUAAUAAAUUAUUAAUAACGAUUAUCUAAUUAAUAAUAAUAAUUAUUAUUAUUAAUUAUUAAUAAAUAAUAAUAAUUAUUAAUUAUUCUUAUUAAUUAAUUAUAAAUAAUAAAUUAUUAAUAAUAUUGAUUAUCUAAUUAUUAAUAAUAAUUAAUAUUAAUAUUUAUUAAUAAAUAAUAAUAAUAAUUAUUAAUAAUUAAUUAUAAAUAAUAAAUUAAUAAUAACAUCGAUUAUCUAAUUAUUAAGAAUAAUAACUAUUAAUUAAUUAUUAAUAAAUAAUAAUAUUAAUUUAUUAAUUAAUAAUAUCGAUUAUCAUUAAGAAUAAUAAUUAUUAAUAAAAAAUUAAUAAAUAUUAUUAAUUAUUAAUAAUUAAUUAUAAAUAAUAAAUUAAUAAUAAUUAUUAUUUAAUUAUUAAUAAUUAAUUAUAAAUAAUAAAUUAUUUAAUUAUUUAAUUAUUAAAACAAUAAAUAAUAAUUUAAAUAUAUUAAUUAGAUUAAUUAAUAAUUUAUUGCCAUUAAAAUUAAAUUUAAAUUUUAAUUAAUCUUGUUCUCAUCAAGGAAGAAGCUUGUUCCAAGAAACGGGUAGAACAGCAGUUCCAGCCUUAUUCCAGCUAGUUCCAGAUUCCCGGGAACUACUGUUCCCGGAAGCCAAACAUAGCGUUUGGGAACAAAGGGGGGAACAAGGGCUUUUUCCCCCCCUUGUUCCCCAACCAAACGCUACCAAAAAGAAUGUUAUAGUUGUGUAAAAGCAUGUUCUAAAGGAUUAAAUAUAACCCCUUAAGACUCUGUAAUGGUCAAUUUAGCCAAUUGGAUUGAAGGUGAAAAAAUUUCUCUGUUAUUUAAUGAUAAUAAAAUCCAGCACAUUAGCUUUGUGGUGCAUAGGAGCAAGCAAAGGAUUGAUACCAUAGAAUGAUGUGCGGCUUAUUGAGUGAAAGAAGAAUAUCAGAGGAGACCCACCAGAGAAAAAAACCCUUUUUAUCUUUUUUUUCCUCGAUGAUGGGGAUUGUUUAAAAUGUAGCUGCAAGUAGAAGUUCUUUCCUCAUUUUUCGCGAAAUUUUCUAAAGCAGCAACUUCAGUUUGGUCCGGCCUUUCAAUCAUCGAAAUUGGGUCCAUGAUCUUUGUAUUUUGUUUUCUUAAAUGCAAACAGUUUAUUAAACAUUUGUUGCAUAUAAAUGUUUCGCCACAAAAUCCAUCUUCUAUACUUAUAUUUUUGAUGUCAUUGUUGAUUCGUACAACAAAAACCUUAAAUGAGUGUCAAUUCGCAAAUACUUUGUAUAGUUCAACAAUUCGACUCUGUUCUGAAUGUAAUGCAGAUCGCGUCCCACUUCGCAGUCCGUGCUGCACGUCUCAACAAAGCAUUCUCAGCGGUGAGGCGCGUACCCAUACUGAGAACUUCGCCUCCCGCAUCCGGGAUGACUCCGUGGUCCAUGCUCCCUCUAAGAUAAGCUUUUAAGUUGCUUCUCCAUGAUGCUCAGGUAUUUACAAUAUGUUUAUUUGCCCUUUAUAUGUACUGUUUGUUACAUUACCUUGUAUCUGUUACUGUAUAAAUACCUUCUUUGUUUAUAUAAAGCUUUCGCAGCGAAAAUAAAAUGGAUGCAGUAUAUGAUGGUUGGUAAUGUUUCGAAGUAGAUGUUUUUGUCUUUGAGCUUCGUGCUUUUAUACCUCAUAGUUGUGUAUUUGGUCUUAUUUAUGUUGAAAUUUUGAAACCAAAAUUAGCAACUCGGUGUCAAUCAAAGUUGAAAUGUCUAAGAAACUAGAGAAGAUUCUUGUGACUAGGUUUUAUUUGGCUUUUUUGUCAUAGAUUUUGUUGCUUUUUGACACAUAUUUAUGUGCGAUUUGUAUCUUUGGGCUUUGUUCUCUUUCAGCUGAACAACUUAAGGAAAAAAAAAAUUAUUGAAAAAAAAAGAGACUUUAUUAUACCAAUUUCUGCCUAGUUUGAGGAAACAAAUUCCGUAAACAAAGUGAUUUCUCAGUAAAUCACUAAUUAGAUUAAAAAUUCUUCAACAAUGAUCACCCUAAUCAAAGAUGAUUCCUGCGGCGGUGGCGGUGCGGGUGCCGCCGCAUUCCGACACGCCGACGACCCCCCACUGCAUACGCCGCCGCUGCCUCGGCCGCCCUGCCUGACAGCACGCGCGACAGCGCCGCCAUCGCGCGUGACUGCCUUGCAACCGCCCCCGUCGUCGACGGCUCCUGCGACAGCACGAUCUCGUAGCCGUCGUAGUACGACUCCAUCCCCUCCGCCAUGGCCUGCCACACCAAGCCGCCGGCCAUCGACCCCCCGCUGGCCCGCGCGGAGCUGUAGAUGCCCGCGUACACGGUGUUCAGGAACGCGUCGCGCCCGUUCUCGGUGUACCCUGCGUCCCGCUUCGACUUGCCGAACUCGGCGAAGACCAGCGGCUUCCGCAGGAUCUGCCGCGCGUCGUUCCAGUGGCUCCACAUCCACCGCCGCACGAACGCCGUUUGCGCAGCGUCAUUUUGCCCGGAGAGCCUGCAGAACAAGAGUAACCUUUUGUGAUUCUUACCGUUCAGAUUCUAUUUUCAUCUACUUUUGUAAGUGAGCGAUAUUACCAUAUAUCUGGAUACGCAUGGAUGGUCGCAAAAUCAAUCUCCUUGACGAGAUUGCUGGUAAUGUAAUCCGUCCCAACUUGGAAUCCGGGAUUGUACUGCUUCUUCUCAGGCAUGGACUCCCCAUAAAACCCCUCCAUUCCCACCUCAAGCAUGUGUUUCCUAUCCAAUGAUUUUGUGUAACUCGCCAUCUCUUGCACCCACCCCUGUUACCAAAAACAAUAAUAACAAAAAAAAGUAAAAAAAAAAAAAAGGUGAAAAAAAAUUGAGAUUUAUGUGCAAAUUUGGGAAAAAAUUGCAAUAAGUGUGAAGUUACUAAAUCAACUUCUUAAUUACCAUUAUAAAUAUAAAUUUGUUUCUUUUAUUGUUAUAUUUCUUCUGAGAGAAAUUUUAUAGUUGUUUCUUUUUUCUCCAACACGUCUGUUUUAUCUUUCUUGUCAUUCUUUAUUCUUUCGAAAGUAACGGUGGUUGUCGUUGAUCAAUACGUGUUAAAACUAAUUCUGAGCUAUUGCCUAUUAAAUUGAUUUAAUAUCUAUCACGCACAUGAGUGGCAGUAUGAAAAUUUAAGACUAAAAUGACUAUUUUUUUAUGAUCAUUUUUUCAUACCCUCUAAUACCCGCCGGCCCGUUUAGUUAUAUAAUACGGUGUUCAGAUUCAGAUAAAAAGAAUUCCAAGUUGGAUGAAUCAUAACAUGAAUAGUUCAUCAAACUAUCUCAACAAAAACUCAUAGAGGAGCUUCUUAACAAAGUUGCAUGCGCUCGUUGUUACACAAGUAAGUUUGUAAUGAUAAAACCGACCGUCCCCUAGAGCAAAUGGCAAAGGGACUUGGUGGUUGGUACCUGAGACCCAAGUUCGAAUCCUAGUUGAUUCACAUUUCCAGCUAAGUUUAUUUCUAAAUGAAAUAAACGAAGCGGGUAGCGUGUUACCUAUCUCUCUCUCAAAAAAAAAAAAAAAAGAGUUUGUAAUGAUAAAUUGAUGAUACCCACAUUCACAGUCCUUCCCGAGUAGUCUCUUUCGCAACGAGGUUCAUUCAUUAGCUCCCAUGCCAUGAUUGUUGGGUCAUCUUUGUAGGCCGUUUUAGUGAUUGUGUUAACCCUUGUUAAGAUAGCCUACACCCAAAAUGGAAAUCCCAAAUUUGUAAGAAUAAUAUGUUAAAAGAAGUUGCAAGGUAUGUAGAUUUAUUACUAUUAUGCGCGGGUCCAAUUAAUGUGCUGACAUACUGACGUGUCAUAAACAAAUUUGCAUGUAAAAUGCAGAGGAGCAAAGAAACGAAUAACAAAAAAUCAUGCCCUAGAUGUUGGAUCUAUAGUUUCUGGUCAUGCAAAGUGCAUGGCAUCCGCGGCGGCGGUUUCUAAAAAGAUCGUCUGAAUAGGAUACGUACCGUAUACUUUUCUUCGCCCGAAGUAUUUACUCUUAUAUGUUUGUUAUAAUAUAUAUAUGGAGUUGAGCUGGAAUGCUAUCGGUAGCAAACGAAUUCCGUUGUCACCCAUUUGUUUUUUAUGAUGGAGCCUUCAAAUCGACGAUCGGCACCGUUGAACAUGAUCUAUACCACUUGAAAUAUCUAGAAAUCAAAUUUCAAAUCUUUUCGACAUCAUUGACCUAAUGAUCAAAGGGUUUCAAAUUUUGUAAUUUUAAUGGUCGAUAUGAAACGUUUUCUCGUUUAACGGUGUAAAGCUAUUCAAAUCAAUUGAAUUUUGGUUAGAAAAUUCUUUAAACUAUUUUAGAACAGAAUCUAUACUUUCGAUCUUGAUUACAAAAUUUCUAUCAUCACAUUUUAGAGGAUAUUUAUUUUCAGCCAUUCAUUUUUACGCCCACUUGAUGAACAAGAGAACAAUAUCGAAAAAGCAUGAUAUUUGAUUUCUAGAUACUUCAAGUGGUAUAGAUUAUUUUCAACGGUACCGAUCGUCGAUUUGGAGGCUCCAUCAUCGAAAAUAAAUGGAUGGCAAUGGAGCCCGUUUGCUACGAAUAGUAUUCCAGCUCAACUCUAUAUAUAUGUAUAUAUAUGCAUGGCAUAUGUUUACACUUUGCAUGUAAGUUUGGUGUGUGUAAAAUCAUGAAAAUUUUGUAUAAAAAUAAUGCAUAUAUUUAUAUUUAUAUCAUUACCUUUAUAUGGUUCUUGUAGUAACCCUUUACUACUGGAUUUGUAUAAAAAUCAUCUUCACUGUUUACUCCAACACCUGCUUUCCUAGCCCACUCUACAUAUUGGGCUUUGCCUCCAAAGUCUUUGAAGUUGUUAACCAAGCUCAAGAUCAGACGGACGCCGUAUCUCCGCGCCUCAGAGAUCACAAAAUCCAGACCCUUGAUUUACAUAAUAAGAAUGAAAAGAAAAAAUACAAUUAGUAAUGUUAAAACGAGUAAGUGAUAAUGAUAAUAUUCACUUAGGGAUUGUUUGGUUGCAUAUAUAUAUAUAUAUAUAUAUAUAUAUAUAUAUAUAUAUAGUGUAGAGUUACUAUACUAUCAGAAAUAUAGAGGAUUUGAUAUUUCCAAUUUUUUUACUCUUCGAUCAAAAAUUGUAUAAUUGGGAUGAUUGCAGUCCCCUCUAGGAUUGAGUAGUACGACUAGGGUUGAGUCGUCCCCACAGGAUAAUAGUAUUAAUCCAAAGGUUAAAAAUGAUUAAAGGGGUUGAUCUAAGGACCAGUCAGAAGCUCCAGAUAUUCUAUGCUGCCGAUAGCAUAGUAGCUCUCUCUCUCUCUCUCUCUCUCUCUCUCUCUCUCUCUCUCUCUCUCUCUCUCUCUCUCUCUAUAUAUAUAUAUAUAUAUAUAUAUAUAUAUAUUGUAACUAUAUUAUAGUUGUAAUUGCAUACAGAUUUAAAUAUAUCCAACUGCUGCAAAUAUUGGAGCUGUAUUCUUGUAGUUCCAAUUACAGAAGUCGGAAAGAAUAUAUAACUGUAAACAAAAGCUUUUCUUUUAGUCACUUUAAUUUUAACCUAAAAGUUUAUUUUUUCUUCAUUACUAAGAAAAUUUGUAAGUAUAUUUCUAAUCAGCAAUAUACAAUUAAAUAAAUUAUUUAUAAUUAUAGUAUUUUCUAUUACAACCAACUAAAUAAUUGAGAUGUACGUAGUUGUACAUAUAAGUUGUUACUGCUACAUUUUCAAAAUACAUUUAUAGUUACAUUCAACCAAACGGCUCUUAAUGUUUAUUGUAUUAUGUGAAUGUAAUUACCCCUUAAUUUUAGCUUGUAUUUC
rnacentral:lncRNA from 1 species